AUCAAGUUUUAUUGACAUAUUUUAGGUACAAUAAAGAGAUUUACAUGUUGACAUUUCAAACAUGAAAUUACAUGUAAAAAAGCUUGUACAUGAGAUCAUCUUGUGUUUCCCUUUUUACAUUUACUUAAAUAGGUAUGACAAAGAUCUCUUAUGGAAGUGCAGGAUUUGGCAUAGUUCAGUAUUACAUUCAAGAAAUCAGUAGUAAACACCGUGUGCAGAUGAUGCCGUAGAACACAUGAGGCAGACGAACUCCCAGUGGAGUCAGUAUGAUAGAGUCGGCUGUUGAAUUUAUAUCCUGAACUGCUAAUAAACAAACUCUGUAAUCCAUAUUAGAGCAAUACAUUUGAAGUGGUUCUCAAAAUACCCACAUAUAUACAGCGUUUAAGACUUUACAGGUUAGGAAGGAUCACAUUCAGUAAUAGUAAUAGGAGGUAGAAUCGUGUCGACAGUGUUCAUAUUUCUACGUGGCAAUAAAAAAAUAGUGCUAUUACUAUCACUGAAUUCAAGAACAGAACUCCUGAAAAAGUGAAAAGGAUAAAAGAGUUGUUAAUCCUGGUUCGCCUGGCUUGCCACAAAUGCUAGAGCAUGAAAACAAAAUGCUUUAAUUCUCCAGCACAGGUAAAACUGCAAAGCAAAACUGUUUAGUGAUGCUUCUCCAGUGCUUUGGGAUGCGCAGCAUCUCCUAAGGUGCGAUACCUGCAAAAGCAACCUCAUCUUUAUGGACCAAAGCCUGCAAAGGAAAGUACAGUAUGAUGUGCUUCCAGGGUGGGAGAUCUAGGCUUCAGGCAUCCUCAAAUGAGCUAUAAGAACAGAAAAUAGAGCAGAAGACUGAAUGCAGUGCACUCAGAUAGGAAAAAGUCCAGAGAGAUGAACAGAGUGAAAAGGGCAGGAACAUAACAAGGAUACAAAUAUCCUUGUGGGAACGGAAAAACAGGGGCAAAUUUGACAGAUAUGACGUAAAGCACAGGGUAGAGGCAAAGGAUACCCCAGGAAAAAAGAAAGAUGACUUAUUUUAAGGGCACUUUGUAUCAAUAAAAACUGUAUGCAACAGAAGAUGAGCUGUGAAUAAAUUAGUGUUGGCAUCUUGUCUCUGCUGUAUCUGUAAGUGGAAAUGUGUAUUAAUUACAAGUUAGACCGUUGAAAGAAGUUUCACCAUCUGAAAAAGAAAUCCUGCAAAAAAAUGGUUUUGUUAUUAUAUAAAUAGGAAUAAAACUGUAAGGUUCCAAAGUCAGCAUGAUAGACACUAGGAAAAAAUACAAUGUGUAUUAAAAACCAUUCGAUGUACACAAUAAAAAUCCUGAACCACUAAGCAAAUGUAACAUUAACACAGCAGUGUUUUAAAUUGUGAUCUUCCAAGUGACUACACACAACAGUGCAAUACAGCUACAUUUAACUGUACACAGGUUCUUUUACAAAAAUAUUCUUAAUCUGUAAUACUGUUUAAAACUAUUUAUAUGGUAAGAAUCACUUAACCCAAGUGCUGUUACAUUAAAUAAAAGCAUUGUAACCUGUUGAAAUACAGUGUGUAUGUAAAGCCCACUUCCAGUUAGUCAGAAAAAUCAGUGCAUCCAACCAAGAAGAGAGAAAGCAACACACGUACCUAGAAGACCCAGUGACAUUAACUUUCCCCUUGAGGUUUUCUUUAGUGUAAUAAGGACCAUACUUCCCACCAAAAUAAGCACAGAAGUAGAAAACGGAAGUGUUUUGGUUUUGGUUUUUUUUCUAUAAAAAACCCCAACCCUACAACAAGCAGUGUUAUGAAGAACAAAAUGAUCCUUCCCAACCAUAUUAUACCAGAAGUUGGUAUACGUAAGGAUCCAAUAUGAAUCAGUGUUUUUGUACACAAGACCUUGUGCUCACGUGGUUAGUAAGUUGUCUCCACGAUUAAAAAUCAGGUUACAAAAAAACCUUACAUAAAAUCCUUAGGAUUUGAUACUAAUUAAAGAUAAAAUACUUUCAAGUAUUACGUUUAUGAAUUAAUUAGAGGUUAAGGCAUGAUUUUAAGGUAACAUUGAAACAAAAGCCCUAUGUUACCCUAAAUAACCUUUAUAACACAGCUAACUUUCUGCAAUCUGUUCAGGAUUUGUUUCCUUCACAUUUAAUUUCUCAUCCAACGCGCUGAUAAAAAAAUUAAAAGCACAAAAAAAACAAAUUAAAAAAGAAAAAAGGGUCCAUGUCUCCCUGAACAAAAAUGUCUUUUUGACAGUGAACAAGUAAAACCCGAUUUCUACCGUUGAUUAUCACGACUCACAUAACAAACACAGUACUACGCAAAGGACAUGAACACCACAAUGCCACGCCAGAGAACAAAUCCAGGAUACCUUUAGACAAAAAACAGGCAAAAAAACCCCAAGAGAUGACCACCCUCCCUCCCACUACCCCUCUCACCCCAGCUAUAAGGCACUGCACCCACACACACAUACAGACACACAGUUACUGUGUGUACCCAGAGGAAGCGCCUACAGCAGCUUCUGGGAAAAUCGCACAAUUUCAAGUUAAACAGAUGAAAGAUACUAUGUUUAAAAAAAUAUAUUAAAAAUUCAGCAUGAAGUGGAAGGUUUUUUUCUUAUUCCAAUUAGUUAGAUGUUAAGAAAAAACAAUGAAGACCCUCAGGAUUAUUCUGAAAUAACCUACAGUUUUAUAAAAAAAAUCUCUAAUCUAUAUCCUUGCAGUGGAAACCUAACAUCAAAUGCUCAGUCUGCCUGGCAUUCAAAUGGCUGGAAGGACUUUUUUAACAGAAAUUUGGAAAUCCGAAGUAACUCUUCAGAUUUAAAUGGGGGAAUAAACUUGGUAUCUGAAGAUAUGUUUCAGAGGGGGUGCCUGUAUUUACUCUUCUUUCCCGAAGUUGUACUGGAGAUGUAUGUGGGCCACAAACAGUAUCCCUGUAUAAAUUUAUUCUUUACCCUUCUUUGAGAUGAACAUUUGCAUGGCAGCUCCUCCAGCUGUGAAAUGCUAUGGACCUGUCCUCUUCCUGCCUAGCACCAACUAUGCCGAGCUUUCCAAACACUGCACAUUGUUCCGUCAUACAGCACAUGUGCCACACCAGUUGCCAACAUUGCGAUGACCCAACGUGUUACAUGACCGACUUGAAUUACGUGUAAAGCCAAAAUAUCCCAAACUUUUGAGAACAAUAUUACACGACAGACCUCAUUUGUACUUGCACAGCACAAUGGAACAAACCUAGAAACCCCAUGCCUUGGUCUGACAGUGCACUGUAUUUCCCC
ensembl:lncRNA